GAAGCGCGCCAGACCGCCGCUGGUGCAAGCUGGGAAACCAGGCACUGGAGGAACGUCCGGACUGCACAGGACAGCGUAGCAGCUAACGGCUGCCCACCGUGAGGUGAGGAUCAGAGCAACAGAGACGAGUUUGGGUGUAGAGCCACCAAGGGUGUUCUGUGGGUCGCCAGCGAAAGCUGGUGCCGAAUGGCGUAAGCCAGUCGGUUCCCGGCGCAAGCCGGGAAAGCCCACAGCCACCUUGGGCGCUCCGCGCCCAAGGUGAAACGGGCAAUCUCUACGCGCAGCAAUACCAAGUAGGCCAACGUUGAUGUGGUUCCGCAGAGUUGGCGGGUAGGUAGCAUCGAGCCGUGGUGGCGACACCCGGCCCAGAGUAAUGGCGGUCACGCCCAGCCUUCGCAAGGGGGUUCGGGUGCACAGAAUCCGGCUUAUCGGCGCGCUUCACAC
rnacentral:RNase_P_RNA from 1 species